UAUCUCAAAAGGAAACUCUGUACCCUUUGGCUAUCACCUCCCCUGUGAUGGUUAAUAUUAAGUGUCAACUUGAUGGGAUUGAAGCAUGCAAAGUAUUGUUCCUGGGUGUGUCUGUUGCCAAUGGAGAUUAAUAUUUGUGUAGGUGGACUGGGAGAGACAGGCCCACCUUCAAUCCGGGUGGGCACAAUCUAAUCAGCUGCCAAUGUGUCUGUGAUAAAAGCAGGCAGAGAAAUGUGGAAGGAUUGGCUCCAAGUUCUUCAGUGCUGGGGCUCGUGGACCUUUGACCACAGACAUUUAUAUAAUAUGUGCUCUUUUGUGACUGGCUUCUUUUUCUUAGCAUAAUGUUUUCCUGUUUCAAAAUAUAACAA
rnacentral:lncRNA from 1 species